ACGGGAGGCAGCAGUGGGGAAUAUUGCGCAAUGGGCGAAAGCCUGACGCAGCGACGCCGCGUGAGGGAUGAAGGUUUUCGGAUCGUAAACCUCUGUCAGAAGGGAAGAAUGUCAUGGGUUUGAAUAAGGUCCAUGAGUGACGGUACCUUCAAAGGAAGCACCGGCUAACUCCGUGCCAGCAGCCGCGGUAAUACGGAGGGUGCAAGCGUUAAUCGGAAUCACUGGGCGUAAAGCGCACGUAGGCGGCAUGACAAGUCAGGGGUGAAAUCCCACGGCUCAACCGUGGAACUGCCCUUGAAACUGUCAAGCUUGAGUGCCGGAGAGGGUGGCGGAAUUCCGGGUGUAGGAGUGAAAUCCGUAGAUAUCCGGAAGAACACCGGUGGCGAAGGCGGCCACCUGGACGGCAACUGACGCUGAGGUGCGAAAGCGUGGGUAGCAAACAGGAUUAGAUACCCUGGUA
rnacentral:rRNA from 2 species